UUAACCAUCAGCCCAGAGUUGCAGCUCCCUCCUCAUCUCAGGGAAAUGGAACUUCUCACAUAUCACAGACAACUUGGAGGAAGCUCAGCUGGACCAGAAGAGCCAGAAAUCGGGAGCAUGCAAUGGCAGAUCAUCAGGGCAAGGCCACUCACCAGCAGGGAGGCCCAGUGAAUGCAGAGCAGGUGGCAACAGGAAAGACUGGAGGCCAGUCUGAUAGGAAGGCAAACACCAGCAAGAGGCAAUUCCGGGAUCAUUUAUGGGAAACCGAGGCAUGGUCUGCAGAGGCAACCGCCCCCCCCACCGUCACUUCCAGAGAGAUGAACGGAAACCUGAUCUCUGAGAACCCAGUCUUCUCAACAAGUUGUCAACAUGCUAAUAAGCAUAGUGUCUUACUCUGUAGCAGGUACUUUUACUUUAUGUGUUAUUAACUCUCCAUCUUCUCAACAAUCAUAUCAAGCAAGUGCUACUUCUAUCCCCGAUGUAUGUAUAAAUUUGUCCAACCAUGUAGCUCAUAAGUAAAUUAACUGUAAUUUCCAAACCUAGAUACACCGACCCUAGAAACUACACUCUCACUACUUUCCUACCCACCAACACCUCUUAAAGUUGAGGUGAGAACUAAGUAACAAGCACUUAUGAGCUGCAAAUUUCAGUGGAAAGCACUAGUCCAAGCAUUUGUUUGAAACCCCCCAC
rnacentral:lncRNA from 10 species